CAGCAGCCGCGGUAACACGUAGGGGGCAAGCGUUAUCCGGAUUCAUUGGGCGUAAAGCGCUCGUAGGCGGUCUGUUAGGUCGGGAGUUAAAUCCGGAGGCUCAACCUCCGUUCGCUCCCGAUACCGGCAGACUUGAGUUUGGUAGGGGAAGGUGGAAUUCCUAGUGUAGCGGUGGAAUGCGCAGAUAUUAGGAAGAACACCAGUGGCGAAGGCGGCCUUCUGGGCCAUAACUGACGCUGAGGAGCGAAAGCUAGGGGAGCAAACAGGAUUAGAUACCCGCGUAGUCCCUGUCUCUUAUACC
rnacentral:rRNA from 1 species